UACAGAGACUCCGAGCGUUAUCCGGAUUUACUGGGCGUAAAGAGCGUGUAGGAGGUUUGGUGCGUUCUGUUUAAAAUCCCCGAGCUUAACUUGGGGCCUGGACAGAAUACGACCAAACUAGAGGGCGUUAGAGGCAGAUGGAACGCACGGUGUAGGGGUGAAAUCCGUUGAUAUCGUGCGGAACACCAAAGGCGAAGGCAUUCUGCUGGGACGUUCCUGACUCUGAGACGCGAAAGCGUGGGGAG
rnacentral:rRNA from 1 species